CCGCGUGAGGGAUGAAGGCCUUCGGGUUGUAAACCUCUUUCAGCAGGGAAUAAGCGAAAGUGAAGGUACCUGCAGAAGAAGCACCGGCUAACUAUGUGCCAGCAGCCGCGGUAAUACAUAGGGUGCAAGCGUUGUCCGGAAUUAUUGGGCGUAAAGAGCUCGUAGGUGGUCGAUCACGUCGGAUGUGAAAAUCUGAGGCUUAACUUCAGACCUGCAUUCGAUACGGGUUGACUGGAGUGUGGUAGGGGAGACUGGAAUUCCUGGUGUAGCGGUGGAAUGCGCAGAUAUCAGGAGGAACACCGAUGGCGAAGGCAGGUCUCUGGGCCAUUACUGACACUGAGGAGCGAAAGCGUGGGGAGCGAACAGGAUUAGAUACCCUGGUAGUCCACGCCGUAAACGGUGGGCGCUAGUUGUGGGAACCUUCCACGGUUUCUGCGACGCAGCUAACGCAUUAAGCGCCCCGCCUGGGGAGUACGGUCGCAAGACUAAAACUCAAAGAAAUUGACGGGGCCCCGCACAAGCAGCGGAGCAUGCGGCUUAAUUCGACGCAACGCGAAGAACCUUACCAAGGCUUGACAUAUACAGGAAUACGGCAGAGAUGUCGUAGCCGCAAGGUCUGUAUACAGGUGGUGCAUGGUUGUCGUAAGCUCGUGUCGUGAGAUGUUGGGUUAGGUCCGGCACGAGCGCAGCCUCGUCUGUGUACCAGCA
rnacentral:rRNA from 1 species